CCACGUUCGCACAGCUACAAGAAAAACAAAAGUAACGACAAACCGGAAAGAUCCGCAAUCACGCCCGUGCCCUUCGUCCAACCUUCCCCAAACCUCGCGUUCUUCCUCUCCCCAUCGAGCGCCGCCGCCCCCGUCGCGUCUACGAUCUCUCCCACAGGCACGACUCGCUGCCCUCCCCUGGUCGCUGCAACUCGCACCUCACCUCAAUCGCCACCAGCCUCCCCCUCCACUACAUCGCCUCGACCUCCAACGCCCGAUGCUCGCCCUCCACUAGAUCGGCGCUGCCCGAUGUGUGGGAUGCGAGAGUCCGGCUGCAGCUGCGUGGCCACGACACGGCUCGCACGGCGCGUAUGCAGCAGCUCGCAAACAGCAGCGGCUCGACAGGAGCGGCGAUGGGCUGCAGGGCUGCGGCGAUGGCGGUCGUCCGGCAUAUGGAGCGGCUCUAACAGGCAGGCUGCUGAGCGCGAGUAGGGCUUGGCAGAGCGCAUAAGUCCAGCGCAUCAUGGCCGGGCCAGCGGGGCAACGAUGUACGAUGUACGCGGAGGUGGUGGUUCAUCGAUGUGCGUACGUAUCCUUACAAGAUCAACGGGAUAGGAUGCUGUGGAUUGUUCUCUCCAGCUGUUCGAUUUGCACAUGCGACAAUCGAAGUGUGCCUAUGUUUGGCCGGCCCUGGCUGCCAGGUUCACAGAUAUACAGGUCGAAUUCUUCGUUCUUUAUUAUAGACCGUUUCAUGUGCUUUGACUCGUGUCUGGGUCGGCGCAUCUAUUAUUUUCGGUCGCAAAUGUGCGCUAGCUCAUGCCUCUCUUGGGUGAUAUAAUUUUGUUGGGGUUUCUCAUAAACUGCAGUGCAUGUGUUAUGCAGAUGAACAAAAACCAUUCAGGUUCUGCAUCCACCCAUCAGGUUCUCUAUUAUACUGCAGGAGGAAAUCCUUUCUUAAUUCUUAUUGACCCUUCAAGCGGGAGGCUUUUAGAGGCAGCUUUCGUGCUUUUCCUUUCCGCUGGAACUGCAUGCAGAGUCUGAGUUCAUGGAGUGCCUUUGGCCUUUAGAAAGAAGAAGAAUAAAUGUUUCGCCGUUGAUCUUUCUUAUGUUCCUAGGUGCAUUGUUUUAGGUUAUGCCCUCAUAUGCAGAGAUGGAAAAUCACACAUUUUGCAUCCAGCUUUCAAUGGGAAUAAAUUGAAUUUUGUUUCGAAGCUUGCCGAUGAAUCAAGAAUAUAUCUUCGAAAGCUGCUUGUUUGUUGCAAGAAAAAAGAGAUCUGAUUUAAGCAUCAUUGUACUUCAAAACCUACACAGUAUUUAUUUCUGCAUUCAUUUGAAGAUGAGAAUAUACUGAGUUCAAUUUCGAGUGUCGAUCCAUUGUUUUUCUGCAGGUAAGUAUUAUUUUUUAUUUCCUAAAAAGGAUUUGAAUAUCAUUUGAUCUGUUAUUGAUUGAGGAUCAGCAUCUUGUACAGUAUGAUUUUAUUGUUUCUCCUUUUUUUAGCUCAGUCCUAAAAUGUACACUAUGAUUUUAUGGAGUGCAUUAUGCCAAUGGAUUACUGCAUUUUUAUGUUAGUUUUUAGACUAUUUGAAUGUAAGGACUCUACAGAAUCUCUUUGACAAUCUACUGCAAAUCAUUUCCUGCACAGAAAAUUCAGUACAUGCUUCUAUGAAUAUCUGCAAUACAAGAUUUGUUCUUAUAUGUUGGCCUGCCGAUGGGUAUUGGCAGCCUUGCAUGCAUGUUUUUAAAAUACUUAAUCCAAGCGCCACUUCUGUAGUAAAUAAGCUGAACUUUUAUUUAAAUAACUAAAUGUUGGUUUGCCGAAGUUUUCUUGUGACUGAAUUAUGGAACUUCCAUUGUGCAGUUUUUACAUAUGGUCAUGCAGUCAUUUUGGCUAUUUAUGUAACAAUACAUCGUCCAGUUUGCAAGACGUUCUGUCUAUAGGUUCUUCUGUACUUAUCUUGUGUUUAACAGGUUUGACUGUUGUUCCUCUACUAUACAACUUCAUCUUUUAGUAUCGACCAAUACUUCAUAGUCAGUACAUGGUUCUUCAAUACUGUGGUAACAAUUGAGGGGAAUAUUAUGAUUCUCUAGGCUUUAUGUUAUCUUACCAUACUAUCCAAUAAAAAUGAUUCUCUUCUUCAAUACCUGUCUAACCACCUCUGAUAUGUUAUUUGUUGGCUAGCCUGUACUCUUUUCACAGAGAGGUGUCGAGUUGUGAUGCAAGGUUUUGCCAUGUUGAUUAAAAGAUAUCGACAUCGAAGACUAUAUACUCGGAUCGCAUGGCAUGUUUAGGAACCAUGGCUCUACUACUACUACACAUCCACUUGCCAUUGUAGUCAUCAACUGAAAUUUAGUCAAAAUCGAUAAUUGUAAGUUGAAAAUUUCUUUUUGGCGGGCUAAAAGGACAGAAGUUUUGAGUGGGAAGAGAUUGUUGUUAUUUAAGGCCAAUUAUUGUUGUUGAGUCACUUCCUCUUUCUCUUCCUGGUAUGCGGUUAUCCAUAUAAUAGCUGGUAUUGAAAAUGCAACUACCUAACCCAAGCUCAGCAAGCAUUAACUAAUUUUUGUCUUCAUAGUUCACUUUUAAUCUUCAUAUUGCAGUAUUUAUUCAAUUAUUUAAUUUAAUGGUCACAUUGCAGUAUUCCUUGGAACUCUAGCCUAACUUGUAGGUGAGUUAGGAAUCUAUUUCUAAUUUCUGGGAUGUCCGCUAAGCAACCAAACUUAUGCUCGGAGUGACAUUCUUGUUGGCCUUCUAUUUGAAGAAGCUCGCCAUGUACACCACAGGUCAGAGUGGUUGUUCCCGUACUCCAUAGAGAUGUGAUACUCAAUGGCGUUGGUUGAGACGAUGACGACGGCAAAAUAGAAAGAUGAUUAUGAGAAGUUCGACUUGUAAGAGAAUAAUCAUAUUACUAACAAUAGAUGUAGAUCUUGAGUAGAUUGAAACAUUAAAUAGUGAUUGUAACUGAGUACUUGAACAUGUUAUUCAAGAUUCAUAGAAUAAAAAGGGUACUAAUGGUUUGAAACAUGAAUGCAAUACCUUUUCUUUGGUGAAAAAUCAACCUUUUGUAUACAACAAUUCAUUUUAAAUAUUUCUUGCUGUUAUUAGAUUAUUCUUUUGCAUACAAACUUUAACAUAUAAUUGUCAUAUUAGUCUAGACGUGCGUUUCACGUGCACACUUACUAGUUCGUCCGGAAAAAAUCCAUUUUAAACCUGAAACUCGUAGGAAUUUGGCGAAACAAAUUCCAACAUUUUAUUUAGGGAAAUGUUUAAAAUCAUCCGGUUGAUUUUCAACUCACGUAAACCUCCUCUCCAACACGACACGUGACCUGCGGGGUUCAUCCACCGCUUCAUCCCCAACCUUAUCCUCUCCCCUCCCCUCGCAUCUCUUCAGUCGCUUUUUCUUUUCCUCAUCUCUCUCACCGGCCCUCGCCAUAGAACUCAGCACCGCAGCUGCAGCCAUGACAACAGCCAUCGCUGCUGCAGGCCAAAGGAUGGCAUGCGGCCAUGACAGCAACCACCACACCGCGAUCCCCUCUCAUCCCCACGCACGCUCGUUGGAGCAUCUCGUCGCUGCCUCCGCCGCCGGCCGCCGCCUCGUGCUUCGUCGCAGCACCCCGUCGUCGCCGUGCUGCUAUGGAGCGCCGCCAUGCUGCGUCGCCGCCUCCGCCGUCGCCUCGUGCUUCGUCGCGGCACCUCGUCGUCGUCGUGUUGCUAUGGAGCGCCGCUGUGCUGCGUCGCAGCCUCGCCGCCACAUCGUGCUUUCGUCGCAGCACCUCGUUGUCGUCGUCAUGUUGCUAUGGAGCGCCGUCGUGCUGCGUCGCAACCUCCACCGCCGCAUCGUGCUUCGUCGCAGCUCUCCGUCGUCGUCGUGCUGCUAUGGAGCACUGUCGUGCCGAUGGUCGUGUUGCAAUGAAGCUUCACCGGCGGCCAUCUGGUGGAGCGAUGGACCCGCCGCGCCGGGUGCGCCGCUGCACUGGAACAUCGCCGGCGGUCGUAGGGUGCUGCGAUGGAGCACCGCCAUGCCAGCUUUGGCGCUACAGUGAAGCAUCGCCGGUGGUCGUCGGGUGCUGCGAUGGAGCAGCGCCACACCGGUGUUGGCGCUGCAGCGAAGCGUUGCCGGUGGUGGAGCAUGGCUGCGCUGCCGGUGAGGUGGUGGCGUACUGGCAUGGUGCGACUCCUCCUGUGGCGCUGCUUCCAACGACGACACGCUUUGGUUGCUCGCGUGUGGCUGCGAUGACAGCAGGGACGAGCCCGCGAGAGGGCGUUGACUGAAUCCAACGAGUUACCAGCGUUGUAGCUGACGGGCCAGGACCCGACUGAUUUCUCUGGAAAAUAAGUUGGUUGAUCCGUAGCAGGCGCCACUUUUAUUUAUCAGUAAGCGCAGCAUUGUCAAAGCAGAAGGGGAUUGGGGUUUAGGGACCUACACAGUUUAAUUUUGCUAUGUUAGCAAAACAGUGUUGGCGAUUUUUCCAGAAUCCGGACUCUUUAUGUGCUCGGGUCCUUAGCGCUAAAUAUUAUCCAGAUGAAAAUUUGAUGAAGACUGGUUCAAAAAGGGGUCGUUCUAUAUAUGGUAAAGUACCGUGGCAGGCAUACAGACGUUCCAGCGAGGAUGUAUAUGAAGAGUUGGUUCCGGGUCUCAAAUUAAUAUCUGACGUAACCCAUGAAUUCCAACUAAUGCAACACGGAAGAUAAUCAUACCAAGAGGAAUGAAUACAACCCUUUAACGGUGGCGGUAUGGGCGCCUCCUCGCUGCAUCCACCUGUCUUUUACUGUGCGAAUAGAGAAGAAAAAAAAGGUGUUACCUGAGUCGUCCCCUCCACCCCGAUGCCCCCCAUCUCUCUCACUUCUCUCUCUCCCGUUCCCUUUUUUCGCCGCCGCCUUCGUCGGCCGGUUCCGGCGAACGCUGGCGGUCUCCGCCGUCGUGGUGGCUACCAAUCUCUUCCUCUCCUCGCGCUCUAUAUGAUCCACCGCAUCGAUUCAUCGAUCCCAUCCUCAUGUGGUUGCCCGCAUCGGAUUUACCCGUCUAGGGUUUCGGUGCGGUCGACCUCCUCAUCGCCGGCGAUGCUCCGGCGCCUUGGUCCGGUCGUCUUUGUCUUCUGCCGUGCUCUCUCGUGCUGCUCUGCUUCCUAACGGCGCUCCCGUGCCUCAGAUGCACGCCAGGGCGGCACGGUGAGCAGGUGGGAGGAGAAGGCGGCGGCGAUUUCGAUCUAUUAUUCUGCGUUGACACGGGAGGCGGUAGAGCGGUCUGGACGAGAUUCCUGGUGCCGGUUUCCUCACCAUGCUGAGGCCACCUGCAUCGAGCAAUGGUUGAUGCCAAGGCUUUAAGGACCUGUUCGGGUUCUCUCCGCUCCACAACUACGGCUCCCGGAGCGGAGGGAGGGGCAGCACAAAUCAGGGAGUGGCUCAAACUGAGGUCCUCGUCUCCUCUACAGCUCGGAGCGGAGUUUUGAGAUUGGAGAGGUUGCGAACAGGCUCUAAGAAUGGACUGCAGCUCUGACCCAAGCAGCGUGAAGCUCCUGAGUCGCAUAUAGCAGAUCUCAAGAGAGAUAAUGAGCGUUUAAGAAGGUUGCACACGGAAACCUUAUUCAAAUUCACCAACCAGGAGCAUAAAGGGACAUCAAAUAACUUAAGCAUGACUAUGAAAUGAACUGAAACUCCCUGGAGAGCAAGCUCCGCUGCACUCUUGUCCAGCAAGGCACCGAUGAAGGAUUCUGUUUUUGGGAGACCUGAUUAUGGGGCCAACACGGUCAUGCAAAUUUUUUUGGCAGCAGAAGGUAAUCUAAUAUCAGGAAGGGGCAUCUCACAAUACUGCAGCUAUUAAAAAGAAUCCAAAACAGAGGCGUCUAGGAGAACGAGCUUUGUUGCUGUUCAUCUCCCAGGAUGGUUAUUGCCAAUUACCAGAACCAUGUCAAGCACAAUAAACUGAGGUCCUUUCAUACUACAUGCCUUCUAUUUCAUUUCUGCAUAUUUGAGAGAGGUGGGCGACUCUGCCUGAGCUGCAUGCUAUAUGGCUGGAAGCCAGAGCUCGGGCCCGACGCCUCCGCUCGCCGUUUCCCACGCCUCCGGCGCCCCUGGUGAUUUCCGUGUGGAUCAGGUCUUCAGGGUGCCAAUAUUUUCGGACGUAGUUGGGCCAGCAAGCUCAGAUCUGAAGGAGAGAAUUGACAUGGGUAGCCGACGAGAGGGCAAGAUUCGUACGUGGCGGUGAAUUUAGAUGGCGGCGGCACCAGUGCGGACGAUGCCAAUAGCAAGGACAGCGAGCCGGCGUAGUCCGAAUAGUGUGGAGUGAAUUGAAGCCGGAUCCGCAAGCAUCCGAGUGGAUUAAAGCGGGGGGUGGAGGUGAUGCGAUCUACUCGGGAAUAAGUGAAUGAUAUCAUUAUGAUGCCAAAUUAGUCCGCAAAUACUGCUGCUUCUAGAAUCUGAAUGUACCCGCUAUGCAUGUUGCAGGCAAUGAACUAUUUUACAAGAUAAAAUAUCAGGAAGGGGCAUCUCAUAAUACUGCAGCUAUUAAAAAGAAUCCAAAUGAGCCCGCGUCACCAUCGUCGUCCAGAGACAGGUCGGCAAGGGAGGCUAUGAGGAAUUGGGUACAUCCAAACUUCCCCUGUGAUAUCUUUAUUUUAUUCCUCAGUUUAAGCCCAUGGAUAAGAAUAUUUCAGUCGCUGAAGAGAUUGUUGAACAUAUGACAUUGAUGCAAAUCUCUGGCCACCUACAAGUGAAACUGCUUGAAGACCAAGUUCGAAUAUGUAUGAGCGCAGUGAAGUUCGGCAUGCAAGUCUAUUCGCAGUCUCGCACCCUAAUGUAAUCAGUCAAGUAGUGACGGGAAGGCGCCGCCGACCAGGAUGUGGAGGAAGAUGGGGUUGAGACGGGUUGGUGAAGGUGUUGUGGCUGGUCGUUGGCCAAGCAGCCGCCUCUCCCUCGUCUUUGACAUCGUGAAGAAUGAUGUUGAAAUGGAUGCGUGCUGCAGGAGCAGCAGAGGCGUCGUGUGAGCCUUGGGUUCUUCAUCAAUUCGUUCGUGCGUUCCCUUGGUCGCAUGCGCGCCUCAGGUACAACUUGCCUCUCGUCUCUCCUCCCUGUUAUGGAUCCAACAUGAGGAUAAAUUGUUGGGGCAGUAGGUAAUAUCAGGAUUUUUUAUUGUUGUUGCUUCUAUUUACGUUUAUGUUCAUGGUUGUUGGUGUAUGGCGUUCACCUUUUACCUGGAUACCAGACCAAAUAAGAUCUCAAUUCAGUUUCUUUAUUUCGAUGUUCAUCUCGUGUAUCAUGAAAAAACUUCACCACUAAAGAGAGCAGAGCUAUUAUCUUGACAAUAGAAGCUAGAUAAAUUAAUCCAUGAGCAUUUUCAUGCAUAUUAUUUAAUAUAUUUUCAUUCAUCAAUUCGUUCGUGCGUUCCCUUGGUCGCAUGCGCGCCUCAGGUACAACUUGCCUCUCGUCUCUCCUCCCUGUUAUGGAUCCAACAUGAGGAUAAAUUGUUGGGGCAGUAGGUAAUAUCAGGAUUUUUUAUUGUUGUUGCUUCUAUUUACGUUUAUGUUCAUGGUUGUUGGUGUAUGGCGUUCACCUUUUACCUGGAUGCCAGACCAAAUAAGAUCUCAAUUCAGUUUCUUUAUUUCGAUGUUCAUCUCGUGUAUCAUGAAAAAACUUCACCACUAAAGAGAGCAGAGCUAUUAUCUUGACAAUAGAAGCUAGAUAAAUUAAUCCAUGAGCAUUUUCAUGCAUAUUAUUUAAUAUAUUUUUAGUUGUGCUAAUUUAAUAACAGUACUAUUUAUAGUGCUGAUUUGGAGAUAUGUGCAAUGCACUUUCAGCAAUCAACAGUUCACCUACCUGUGUAUUGUAUGCAUUAACUAGAUUAAUUAAUGACGAAGGAAGGAUUUAUUCAAGUCAAGUUACUAAAUAUUUAUGAUGGUAUCUUUUUCCCUGAACUUCUUAUCCAGGAUCAGCUCGGAGUUGAAUACUUAACUGGUUCAGGAAAGCUUCAAAUACAAUAGUGGCAAACAUCUCCAUUGAUGCUACAAAGCAUCUCGAUGAUUUUGAAGCGAGUCUUCAUGUUAAUUACAUUACUUUUUGUAUCAUGCCCUAUUGAUCGAAAAGUUACUUAGCCCUAAUCAUCCAUGCUUAAUAAUGAGGAUCGUUUUGGGAUUUUGUUUAGCUUUCCAACACUUCCAUAGUUUAUUAGUACAGAGCUAGAUCACACGUAAUGAAGUCAUUUUACUUGGCUUUCUAGCAACGGGUCAGCAAGUGGGUCAUGAUGAACCAAAUUAUGUUCUCUCUCUUGCAUAUAGAUGCUCACGAUUAUACUGAUCUGAUCAAUUGUAGGUUCCAUAGGAACACUGAACUUGAUUUUGUUGCCUCCUCGUAGCAGGGCCAGGGAAGCAGUGUCAAGUGGAUCCUGGAAGAGCACUGGUGUGGGAUCCGCUGCUGCCAGGUAUGCUUUUCUUCCUUCCCGUCCUCUCGAUCCACUUCCUCUCUUUGUUUCUGAAUUUUGCCCUCAAAUUGUGAGGUGAGGCUCAAAAAAUACAGUGGUUACCGACGGCGGCGACGACCACGAAGAUUGUCCCAGCAUCUGGAACAGUGGAUGCAUUGAGAUCGAGAUGACGAUUAGCCACUCCAUCCACGAUCACUGUUUUCCCCCUUUCUUUUUGUGGAGAUGAUUUCACUACUCUUUAUCAAUGCUGUAAUAACCAAGGUGCAUGUGUGACUCGUUCAAUCAAUUGUGUAAUGAACCCUGCUUAAUAUGCCUAUGAUGCAAUACCACUACAUAGUUUAAAAAGAAUGUGUGACUCGUUCAA